rnacentral:rRNA from 1 species
CUAUUAGUGGGGGACAACAUUUCGAAAGGAAUGCUAAUACCGCAUACGUCCUACGGGAGAAAGCAGGGGAUCUUCGGACCUUGCGCUAAUAGAUGAGCCUAAGUCGGAUUAGCUAGUUGGUGGGGUAAAGGCCUACCAAGGCGACGAUCUGUAGCGGGUCUGAGAGGAUGAUCCGCCACACUGGGACUGAGACACGGCCCAGACUCCUACGGGAGGCAGCAGUGGGGAAUAUUGGACAAUGGGCGCAAGCCUGAUCCAGCCAUGCCGCGUGUGUGAAGAAGGCCUUAUGGUUGUAAAGCACUUUAAGCGAGGAGGAGGCUACUUUAGUUAAUACCUAGAGAUAGUGGACGUUACUCGCAGAAUAAGCACCGGCUAACUCUGUGCCAGCAGCCGCGGUAAUACAGAGGGUGCAAGCGUUAAUCGGAUUUACUGGGCGUAAAGCGCGCGUAGGCGGCUAAUUAAGUCAAAUGUGAAAUCCCCGAGCUUAACUUGGGAAUUGCAUUCGAUACUGGUUAGCUAGAGUGUGGGAGAGGAUGGUAGAAUUCCAGGUGUAGCGGUGAAAUGCGUAGAGAUCUGGAGGAAUACCGAUGGCGAAGGCAGCCAUCUGGCCUAACACUGACGCUGAGGUGCGAAAGCAUGGGGAGCAAACAGGAUUAGAUACCCUGGUAGUCCAUGCCGUAAACGAUGUCUACUAGCCGUUGGGGCCUUUGAGGCUUUAGUGGCGCAGCUAACGCGAUAAGUAGACCGCC